ACACACACACACACACAGCAGCAUGUUGUGGAUGACUCAGUGUAUGAGGAGAGUGUUAAAGGUGAAGAGAUGUAGAGAUGUAGUGUAGAGGGAGCAGGAAAAUGAGGCCGUGUUGUUGGUUACUUAUUUACUUAUCUCGAUGGUCAUGUGUCUGUUGCUUUACAGGGUCUGCCGGGGGGUAAAGGGGAACGAGGAGAGAAGGGGGAGCCUCAGUCUAUGGCCAUGAUCUACCAACUGGUGACGCAGGCCUGUGAGCAGCUAGUACACAAGGAAGUUUUGAAGCUCGACAUGUUUAUUAACGAGAUAAGUCGUAAGCCAGCUCCUAUUGAGGAGC